UGCAGUCGAGCGGAUGAAGGAGCUUGCUCCUGGAUUCAGCGGCGGACGGGUGAGUAAUGCCUAGGAAUCUGCCUGGUAGUGGGGGACAACGUUUCGAAAGGAACGCUAAUACCGCAUACGUCCUACGGGAGAAAGCAGGGGACCUUCGGGCCUUGCGCUAUCAGAUGAGCCUAGGUCGGAUUAGCUAGUUGGUGAGGUAAUGGCUCACCAAGGCGACGAUCCGUAACUGGUCUGAGAGGAUGAUCAGUCACACUGGAACUGAGACACGGUCCAGACUCCUACGGGAGGCAGCAGUGGGGAAUAUUGGACAAUGGGCGAAAGCCUGAUCCAGCCAUGCCGCGUGUGUGAAGAAGGUCUUCGGAUUGUAAAGCACUUUAAGUUGGGAGGAAGGGCAGUAAAUUAAUACUUUGCUGUUUUGACGUUACC
rnacentral:rRNA from 1 species